CAGCAUCAAGGUAACCUGACUGGUGUAAAUGUUGAGGCGCCUACUGCUUAUCCUCUUGAAGACAUUAGCAGUUGGAGUUUCAAUGACGGUACCAAUAAUGAAGAGAUGUUGGACACUCUCGUUGCUAAUCUGGAGAUGUAUUUGCCUACUCAGGACAUGAACAUUACAAAUCAAGGUAAUAAUCAUGAAGAAAUGUUUAACUCUCUUGCUGCUAAUCCGGAGAUGCACUUUCCUACUCAGGACAUGAACAUUACAAAUCAGGC